rfam:Picea glauca, whole genome shotgun sequence.
UACAACAUAUCGUUAAUGCACCAUAUCCCAUUAGAACUCUGCAGUUAAGCAUGCUCAGGCUAGAGUAGUAUUGGGAUGGGUGACCGCCCGGGAAGUCCUAGUGUUUUAC